rnacentral:lncRNA from 10 species
GAUUAAAUGAGCUUAACCAAGGGGUCUCCAUUUAGUCCUCUGGGCCAGGGAUGGAGAAUUGUCCAUUGGCUGGUCUUCUAACAUUUGGUGCCAGAGGUUUCUAUAUUCUUUAAUCAUCACUCAUUGCCUCUACCCCACUAAAUCAUGCCUGGAAGCUUCAGGGAGUUGUAAGAUUCUUAAAAUCAAUUCCUAUGCCAUGGAGCAAAGGAGCUGGAUCAGGCAUGACAUAAAUAAGUACGAAGUGCUGGCUCUGGAAUAGCUAUUAUAACACCUACUGUGGUUAGGAAGUUGACCUAUAUUAUCUCCAGCUCCUAUCCAGGGAAACUGAAAAUCAGGCUGGUUAAAUAGUUUUCCCAAGAGGUGGGAUUUGAACCCAUUGUCUCCUGGCUUCCUCUCUGUCAUGCUGUCUUCUGUGUUUUAACACUGAUCUUAUUGACUGCCUGGGCUUUGUGCAUUGUAUUCUGUUCUUCUUGGCCACAGGAAACAGACCAGCCACCAAGAAUACCCUCUUUGUGAAAGAACCAGGGAGGUGUAGGAAUCCUGAUUUGCACACUUUAGAUAAAUGCACUGACCAAUCCCUUCCUUGUCAAUGAGCAAAGACUGAUUUUGGCCUCCAAUGCUAUGGUUGUCAGAGAGAUCUAAUUUGGAGAAAACACCCUAGAUUCUAGAGUCACUGAGCCUCUCACAGAGUCCUCUACUUUAAUUAGUGUUGAAUGAAUGGAGCAUGGGCUUUGGAGCCAAACAGGCCCAGGUUUCAAUCCUGCUCUCUACUUUCUUUUUUUAUGUAUUUAUUUAUUUUUUUGAGACAAGAGUUUCACU